UCUCUCUUUCUCUCUCUAAAACUUCUCUCCAUUUUUGAGUAGAAGUUAAUGGAAUUAACUCCUUUCUCUUCUCCUCUUCAUGUUGGCUGAGGUGGUGAGCUGGGAGGGAGCUGCGGAUGAGGUGAAAGGGAAUCUUUGGUGGUCUUUAACUUCAACCCUAAUUCAGGAAUGGGCUGGGAUUAAGCUUCGAAUGCUGAGUUCAAGAAAGUUUACAAAGGCCGUAGAAUGAGUAUCUUGGGCUGUGACUAUCGAUUUUAAUCCAAGAGUAAGCUGGAUUAGGAUUUUAAGAAGCAGUUUUAAUUAUCACUUUGAGCUGAAUAUAGGGGCAAUUGAGAGCUGAUUUGGGAUGCUCCAACUAAGUGGAAUGGAGAUUGAGCUCUAGACUAAACCUGGGUUCGCAGCAGGUUUGCGACAGAUUGUUGAAGUAAUCUCAGCUGACUUUUAGGAGCUUUCGAAGGUUAAACUUGGUGCUUUAACCUAAACCGAAACAGGGAUUUAAGCUAUAGCAUUGUACAAGGGUUGAGUCUUAAUCUAAACCUAGAGGACUUGGAGACUCCAAAUUCCUGUAGUUGUAAGUGACUAAGAGUCGUGACUAGUAGCUUGCAUGCCAAUUGUGCUCUUUCGCACAUGCUUGUGGGGGUCGCGCCCCCCCCAAGCCAGCGCUCCGGAGUGGCUUAGCGACAGAUUGCUCGCUUAUGUACGAAUUUGAGCGCCGAAGUGGAUUGCUGUGGGUAGUGUUGACUUCCACGGGGCCAUUAGGCACGGCGUGGCUAAAACUUUACUAUGUAGCCUUCCACGGUGGGAAAGGCUAGGGAUUCCUGGCAAGGGAUCAACGGUUAAAUAGAUCCUCCUCGAUGUUAAAUAGAUGAAUCUCUAUUGAUUUAAUUUGGUUUAGCUAAGUGAUGUAUUCUGGAAUUAUGUAAAAUGUUCUUUACUUUUCAAUUGUAAUAAGGUUUUGGGUUCUAUAAGUUUACUAUACUUUUAAGUUGUGCUCUGAUUA